CUGAAGCUCCUGUAGGUAUAUGGUUUCAUAGUCCCAAGACAGUAACCAAAAAAAAUCACAUUUUUCAGCCUACUUAGAAUUUUUAGGGUCCUGAUGACUGUGGUACAAAUCAGAAAACUCAACUAAAUCCUGUGGAGAUUUGCAUCAGGGUAAGAGUUACAAGUUAAAAGCCCUGUACGAUCCAGUCCAGCAACUCUUCAGCCAUCACGUUCAGGAGGAUUGGGAUUAGUCUGUACUUGACUGGAUUCUCACUCAUCUGAGCUGGUGAUUAUCUGAUCUUAAAAAGCUACCCAGCAUUCCCAGGUGAAGGCUAUGCACAUGACUCCACGUCAGAAUUGCAGCUUUCUGCACAUUGAGCUGUUGCACAUCAUUCUCAGUCCAGACAGCAAGAUGGGAGGUGCUGUGCACAAAAUGCCAUCCAAAAUACUAUCAGCAAAAUGAUUUCAGCAAGAUGUGAAGCAGCAGAAGGAAGAAGCAAAAGAUGACAUAUGCGCUAUGUGAACAGAAAGAGGCACAUCAUAUCACAAAGAGUAUGAAUGGAUUCCUCCAGUCUCCCUCUACAGAGAUUUGUCUCGUGCUAUGAAAUUGCUGGGAAAAACUCUGAGCUAGGAUCCUUGUCGACACCUGUCUCAAAGAAUCCCGGUAUUUCCAUCUUUGAUCCUUUCACACUCUGUGCUCAAGUGGUGAAAGAAGCCAACCUUCUCUCUGUACACCUUAGUUCCUGGACAUCCGUAUCCUAAAUACCAUAAUCCAGAACAGCUCCAGGGCUUCUCUGAAGGCCGGUUUUGUGUAGUGACCUGCUACAGAUCCCAGCCACAGCCCAGAAACACCACAGCAGAGCUGCUAUCACAUCUGACCAGGCAAUGCCUUUCCUUUCGGAGGCCCCUGAAUGCCAGAUGUCUGCACUGAUAAAAGAGGAUGACCACUCCACACAUCUCCAGCUGCCUUCUUAGAACAUCCACUAGGAUGUCCAAAGGGCAGGAGAAGGAACCCAACUUAGGGCCCUAUAUGACAGCAGACCUGGGGGAAAAGUACCUCCAACCAGCAUCUUUGUGUCUUCCCUGCCCUAGGAAACACUAGUGAUUUAGUGCCACCAAAAAAAGGCUUAAGGGUGAUAAUGCAAAAUUAUAAAUCUUCAAGCACCUCAGUUGCAUCAACCUAAGCUUUUUCUUCUCCCAUUUGUUUUCUGUACUAGAUGAAUCUUGCUUGUUUACAAAC